rnacentral:rRNA from 1 species
AAUAUUGGACAAUGUGGGCAACCCUGAUCCAGCCAUGCCUCGUGUGUGAAGAAGGUCUUCGUAUUGUAAAGCACUUUAAGUUGGGAGGAAGGGCUUUAUGUUAGUACCCUGAAGUUUUGACGUUACCAACAGAAUAAGCACCGGCUAACUCUGUGCCAGCAGCCGCGGUAAUACAAAGGGUGCAAGCGUUAAUCGGAAUUACUGGGCGUAAAGCGCGCGUAAGUGGGUCAGUAAGAUGGGAGUGGAAUCCCCGGGCUUAACCUGGGAACUGCUUUCAUAACUGGUAGGGUAGAGUACGGUAGAGGGUAGUGGAAUUUCCAGUGUAACGGUGAAAUGCGUAGAUAUAGGAAGGAACACCAGUGGCGAAGGCAAGUACCUGGACUGAUACUGACACUGAGGUGCGAAAGCGUGGGGAGAAAAC